rnacentral:lncRNA from 1 species
CCGGUCUCAACUUGCCCCCAUACUUGAGGCAUAGCUCCUUUUUGAUGUAUUCUUGGAGCUCUUCCCUUGACAACUUCUUGAUUUCUUUUGGCCGAUCCUUGUUGUCACUUUUAACUUCUUCAUUGACCUUCCAAGGUGCUCUUGGUUGCAAGGAUGAACAUGCAUUGUUGCUGAAAUUUUCUUUGGACAUGUGCUUCUCCGCGGGGUAGCUCUAGGAUCUCCGCCAUCCUCAUUGCAUCUUGUAACCUUGGUAGCCAUGGCUUCAAACCAUCUAGGAAGGUGCCCAUUAGUGCCUCUUCGGACCACCCCCUCACCAAUGUUUGGAGACGCUGAAACUCAUCAAUGUAUGUGUGCCCUUUUCCUUCUUGUCUCAACUUGGCUAGUUGCCCAUGGUAGUUCACAACGGGUGAAGGACCCCAUUGUGACAUGAAUUACUUCACGAAGGCCAUCCAACCAAGUCUCUUGCCAUCCUUCUCAUAGAGUGUUCGGAUCCAUCUCCACCACCGACUUGCCCUUCAAAGUUUCGCUAGCAAUGGUGACCCGGUCGGCUCUUGGGACCCCAUAAACCUCAAAGUAUUGUUCGG